UCUACAAUGCGUAAGAGUGUUCAGUUAGGUAAAAACUGUUCACUUUUUUUUCCUACCUAAGUUGAUGGUCUUGGGAGACUAUUUCAGCGUAACCUUAACUAGUGGAUGAGCUCAAGCCUGACGAUGUUGCUAACACUAGCCUUAGCGAGAGCAGUGCUUCGCAGAAUCUACCACCGGAUCGGAAAAGCGACCCACUGAGAAGAUCCGGUGAGAAACUCAGCGAGCUGUGUCUAUGGUUUAAUUUACUCGCCGAUCCCUUCGUCGCAAGCAACGGAUUCGACGAGUACGAUGACCGGUGCUUGGGGGACCUAAAAGCACCAUUAGUAGUUCGACUGUUCACGUGAAAAUAAUUCUGUGUCACUAAUGCUCAGAAGAUUCGGCUCGACGCAAGUUUCGACCUCGGUACGAGCAUGCUUUUGUUUUCAGGUCAUUGUCAUAAGCUAGUAUGAAGCUAUUACGAAAGUUUAAGCGUCUGCAAUUCAAUAAAAAUUCAAGACAAUAAUCAUAGACAAGAAUAGAAGAUUAUUAUGAAAUGGAGUUUAAAUAGUGUGUUAGGACCUUAAUAUGUGAUUGAAACGUGACUUAAUUAAAGUCGACGUGUAUAAAUCAAGGCCCGAAUGAGCGUGUGAAACGUUCACUUAUUCUCGGCUUUUGCAAAGGUGUAAAAAAAA